rnacentral:sRNA from 1 species
CGUCUAUACCCAGGAUUGCCCCCUGGCAGCAGCGAAAGCCAUCCAGGGCCUACGGGCUGUGUUUGAUGAGACCUAUCCUGACCCUGUGCGAGUCGUCUCCAUUGGGGUCCCGGUGUCCGAGUUGCUGGAUGACCCCUCUGGGCCUGCUGGCUCCCUGACUUCUGUUGAGUUCUGUGGGGGAACGCACCUGCGGAACUCGAGUCACGCAGGAGCUUUUGUGAUCGUGACGGAAGAAGCCAUUGCCAAGGGUAUUCGGAGGAUUGUGGCUGUCACAGGUGCCGAAGCCCAGAAGGCCCUCAGGAAAGCAGAGAGCAUGAAGAAAUGUCUCUCUGUCAUGGAAGCCAAAGUGAAGGCUCAGACUGCUCCAAACAAGGAUGUGCAGAGGGAGAUCGCUGACCUUGGAGAGGCCCUGGCCACUGCAGUCAUCCCCCAGUGGCAGAAGGAUGAAUUGCGGGAGACUCUCAAAUCCCUCAAGAAGGUCAUGGAUGACUUGGACCGAGCCAGCAAAGCCGAUGUCCAGAAACGAGUGUUAGAGAAGACGAAGCAGUUCAUCGACAGCAACCCCAACCAGCCCCUUGUCAUCCUGGAGAUGGAGAGCGGCGCCUCAGCCAAGGCAACCCAGGGGCCAGGGUCCCCUCCCCUAGGGCUCAUCAGCCCUCUGGUGGCUGACAUGUGGCCUCUGUGGCUCUGAGCGAAGUGGUUGCCUAAGGGCCCACGGUCUGGGAUUGAGAUUGGGAGGAGCAGCAGCUCCCUGCAUGUGGGAGGCAUACCUGGGCCAGGGUAGGGGCAGGGCCCGGCGCUGGGGUCCUCCCCACAGGCCCUGGGCACAGCACCUGCUCUGGGAAGGGGUAGGGUUGGGUGGCAGGCCUUC